CACAAGGCAAAAAGAAAAUGAAAGGUCCUUUCAGGAUAGUAGGUGUGAUCCUUUCCCAGUAAGUGCAAGGAGAAUGUUUUAUUCCUCAUCAACUUGCCUGGAUCAGGAUGUCCUUCUUGCCCUAAGAAAAUCCUUUGUAAUUAAACCUUUUUUCUGCAAUAUGUCAGGGCACAUAACAAGGAUUUUCCUGCCUGGAAGUAGUGUGAUCUUAGAUAUUUCUAGAUACAGCUCAGGCUGGAGGUAUGAACAGAAAUAUGAUCAUUUAUGCCCACCAUCUUUGAAGCUGGGAGGGUCCUGAUUUCAAUCUCAGCAACAAAGGGCAUGUGUAAGUAAUGCUUGGUUUAAAAGGUCUGAAAUGACUCUCAUCAUAUCCUCUGGCUGCCUGUCUCAUCCAGCCAGUCUCACCUCAUCCCAUAGGAACAGGCAGCUGGAUCCCAUCCGUGCUGCCAUCCCAGCCAUCCUGUAGCUGAGAUCACUGGGGCCAGAUAUCGUGAGGUGGGGGCUUGAGGGGCACUGUCCCCUGUUAAUACCCCUGUCACAUAGCACAGCUAUGCAGCAUCAUAGGCUCUCUCAGCCAAGAAGGCAAGAAGGCACACAGGGGUGGGAAGAAGCCCCAGGACUGACUCUUUUCUGAGGCUGAACCAGACCCUAGAUGAGAGAGGAACCCCAGGAGAUGGCCUUGUUUCCCCUACCAGCAAUGUGUUCUGCAGUCAAAGACUGAAAGCAACCCCAUCCCGCUCUGUGGUCCCCAUGUGUCACCACUGACGCCUGCCACUAGCUCUGCUGCACUCAUCUCCUUGGCUGCAUCAUGGAGGAUGCUCAGCCGCUGCCAUCCUGCUGUCACUGUCUCUCACACAGUUUGGCACACAAACAGCCAAAGGCUGAGGAGAUGUGCAAUGAGUAGUCAACCUUGCCAUUGCCUUUCUCAAUACUUUGAGAUGAUAAGCCACCAGCUGGCAGGUGGCUGCCAGUGUGUGGAGCCUUACACAGUUCUUCUGGCAGUUGAAGCACAGAAGGCAAUAUGCUCUCCACCAGAGAACAUCAGCUGGUGAUGUGUGAUGCUUUUUCUCAGAUAGGGGAUGGAUGUGAGAUGCUCCUGAUGCUGCCAGCACUUCUGAGACAGCAGGAUGUAUCAGCUUGGCUACUGCUUGACUUGCUCUGGGAAUCACACUUCAGCAUCAUAGCCCUGUACCUUCAGUCAGCAACCCAAGAACUGCAGUGAAGGCUGAGUAGGCACCUCCCCAGGACUCCCUGGGCUUCUCCUAGGGCUGUCCCUAGAGUGGCUCUUUACCCUUGGCUUUGUUUGGCAUCCCCAGCCCUUUCCUGUAACAGCAGCUGCUGGAAGUGUGAAUUUCCAGGCCUGAGGACUGCUCACUGGAGCAUGUGCAGUCCAAGAACCAGUGGAGAAAAGCACCAGGUCCCAUCCCUUGCUGUAGAUGCAAAACCUGCCUCAUUCUCAUUGCAGAAGAGUCUCACUGUGGGAAUCUGCAGCUCUCCCAUGCCUCCUGGUUAGUAGAGCUGUGGGGCUGUGAGGAUCCCUUGGCUUUCACCUGCAUGCACAUGGGCAGGUUUUGUUCCUAGCUGUGCUAGUUCUGCUUUUGGACAGGCCAAGGGCUGUCUGAUGAGCUGUUCGGGUGUUUGAGUCCAGAGCCUUGUCCAGGGCUACAACUGUCCCAGAUCUGAGCUGCUUUGGAGACAUCUGCCCUCCAGGGAUGAGAAGAGGUUCCCAGGCCUGCUGAGAAGAAAACCAUCGCUGCCUGCUUGGCACCGGAGCUUGGAUGGGAAUUCUGUUUUUCAUGAGCAGGCUGAGCGGUCAGCACAUACCAUGAGCAACAGUCAGAGGAGCAAUAAAUAGCCUACCCAGACCAGAAGGAGACAACCUGUUCAGACUGGACCACUCAUCCCCUGUGCUGGACAGAAUAACUAUUGCUCUGUGUCAAGGUCUCAUGUGCUGAGGAGAGAAAGCCUCUGGCCAGGCCCAGCCUGCACCUAGCGGGUUCUCCAAGAGCAGCCAUGGUUACUGCUUCAACCGGCACGUCCCAAGGAUGUGGUAGGCAGCCAUCAGGAUUGUCUUUGUUCCAGUGAGAUGUUUCACUCCUGCUCCCGAAGACGUGCCAAGAGGCAGAUGCCAUUGCUGCAGGCUGGCUGUGGACUUCUCCUCCAGGGCUGGUUCCCAUUUGGGAUUGAACCCCACCAUACUUCUCCAUUCCAGUGAAAGACCCAGCUUUGCUCAUUCUCCAGAAAAAGGAGCACUUUGAAAAUGUUAAGGUUCCAUAACUCAUACCAGGAAAACCUUGUGUUCCCCAAUGAGGUUUCUUUGUGGUCUUAUACCACCCGUAAGACUGUGGGGAAGAGGAGAGGUCCCAAAUAGCCAGUGCAAGCCCAUCACUUAGCAUUUCCCCUUCUCCCUUUUAAAGUCUACAACGGGAGCAGGCAUGAAAGGCAUUCCUGCAGCUACAGGCCAGUGUUUCUUCCCAGUCACCUCCUGCUGAGCAACAAAUCUGGGAUAGCCAGGGGUUGUAAAGUCCUCUGAACCUGAAAAGUGCUAACCAAGAGAAUAAAGCACAACAAGAGUGUUAUUAAUAAAUGCCAGCUGCUGUUAUAUAACUCCUAA